ACCGUGGACUCGAGCAACAUCGACACCUUCGUGAACUGCACCAAGAUCCUGGGCAACCUCGACUUCCUCAUCACGGGCCUGGAGGGCGAUCCCUGGCGCAACAUCUCGGCGCUGGACCCGGACAAGCUCAACGUCUUCCGGACGGUGCGGGAGAUCACGGGCUACCUCAACAUCCAGUCCUGGCCCAAGCACAUGCACAACUUCAGCGUCUUCUCCAACCUGGUCACCAUCGGCGGGCGCAGCCUCUACAACCGCGGCUUCUCGCUGCUCAUCAUGAAGAACGAGAACGUGACGUCGCUGGGGCUGCGCUCGCUGCGCGAGGUGAGCGCGGGGCGCGUCUACAUCA